rnacentral:lncRNA from 1 species
GGUUUGUAGAUUUUUCUUUUUUUUCAACUUUAUCUAUUUUUGAAUUUGCCCGUAUAUUUAUGGAUGCAUGUUCAUUUAUAUGAAUUUACCUUAUUUUGCAAGUACUUUUAAGUUUUGGAGUUCGAUUUUUUUGAUUUUCUUCAUAUAAUAGAAGUUUGAUUUUUUAUUUUCUUGAUUUGUAGUUGAUUUAGGUUAAUCGAAUUACUGUAAAAAUUGGUAAUGGAUUCUUGUCCU